GGACACGUGGCCGAGUGGUUGAAGGCGCGCCCCUGCUAAGGGUGUAAACGGGCAACCGUUUCGAGGGUUCGAAUCCCUUCGUGUCCGCCA
rnacentral:tRNA from 1 species